rnacentral:misc_RNA from 1 species
CAAAUGGAUAGAGUGAAUCUAAAAGAUAAAGCAGGGGAAUAAAAAGUCCCCUCAGAAUCCCCUCAGAAAAUGUUUUAUCAUGCUAUUGACAUUUACAAGAGCUUGAUAAGCCCAAGACCAUAAUCCCCUUAAAAGAUUGGGAUCAAGGUCAUUUCCACUUGUCAUUUCUUGUGGGCAAUACAACAGGCAUAUCCUUGGUUUUACUUGUUAGGCAUCUGCAAUUAUUGCUAUCUUGCUAUGUUACAAAUUUGCUUUGUGCAACCUCCAGCAGCUGCACCUCAGUUUCACAUUUAAUGGCUCCAAAAGUGAAUAGAUUGACAUAAUUCGCAGAACCCAGCAACAGAAGCCAUUAUUCUUCCACUGCAUUGCUUAAGAAUUUGAUCUCAUGUAUUGAACUUGUAAAAAGGAUUAAUUUAGGGGCUUAGGGGCUCCCAUGCUCAAAGCUUGACAAACGAUGAUCUGAUAGAACAGCAAAUAGUUGUGUGUCUACAAAUAGCUUUAUAAACGGUCGGUCCCUACUGGGAAACGAAUCAAUAAAACUGUCUUUAAGAAGUAAGCAAACCCUGUCAUUGUUUGAUUGUACAUUAGUUAUUGUAUGGGACCUCAAAUCUGAACAAAUAGAAUCCAAGUAGCGUCUCAUAAUGGUCAAAAAUUGGGUUGCAGCUUCAGCCUGAGUUUCAUUGCACCUGUAUACAGGAUGCUUUUUAGCAAUCGAACUUUGAAUUGAUAGUUUAGCAUGAAAUGGUGCAAGUUCGGAAACAAGCUCUUUAUACCGUGGAAGUGCUGGCAGGUGGCACAUUUUUACCUGAUCCUUGAGCACAUUAACAUGGACAAGAUUAGAUGUUUUCAUCUUCAAGUCUGCCGGUUUUUGUUGUAUGCCAACAAUAAAGGGAACUGGAGCAUCAAGAAAAUCAAGCAUUCUCCCAGGCAGAAUUGGAAGAAAUAAACUCUGCCAUUGAAAUGGACGAAUCAUGGGAACAAGAGAUAAAACUAUAGCAGAUAGAACACCCAGGUUUGGGCAUACUACCACCACUUGUUUUUCCAGUAAUACUCCCGCAAUUAGCGUCAAAACACUUUCAAGUGAUAGAACUCGACAUAUAGUUGCAGUUGUCCAUAUUGAGAGUGCAAAAGCUUCUUCAGCAGCUGCCAACUUUGCAUUGACCUCAGUAGCUUCAACCAUAGCUAAAUAAUUUUCA